AACGCGAAGAACCUUACCUGGGCUCGAAAUGUAGUGGACCGGGGUAGAAAUAUCCCUUUCUCGCAAGAGACUGCUAUAUAGGUGCUGCAUGGCUGUCGUCAGCUCGUGUCGUGAGAUGUUGGGUUAAGUCCCGCAACGAGCGCAACCCUUAUCCCUAGUUGCCAUCGGGUCAAGCCGGGCACUCUAGUGAAACCGCCCGGGAUAACCGGGAGGAAGGUGGGGAUGACGUCAAGUCCUCAUGGCCUUUAUGUCCAGGGCUACACACGUGCUACAAUGGUCGGUACAAACCGUCGCAAACCCGCGAGGGGGAGCUAAUCGGAAAAAGCCGGCCUCAGUUCGGAUUGGAGUCUGCAACCCGACUCCAUGAAGCUGGAAUCGCUAGUAAUCGCGGAUCAGAACGCCGCGGUGAAUACGUUCCCGGGCCUUGUACACACCGUAGUAC
rnacentral:rRNA from 1 species